rnacentral:rRNA from 1 species
GACGAACGCUGGCGGCGCGCCUAACACAUGCAAGUCGAACGGAGUCAAGAGGAGCUUGCUUUUCUUGACUUAGUGGCGAACGGGUGAGUAACGCGUGAGUAACCUGCCCUGGAGUGGGGGACAACAGUUGGAAACGACUGCUAAUACCGCAUAAGCCCACGGAUCUGCAUGGAUCUGCGGGAAAAGGAUUUAUUCGCUCUAGGAUGGACUCGCGUCCAAUUAGCUAGUUGGUGAGGUAACGGCCCACCAAGGCGACGAUUGGUAGCCGGACUGAGAGGUUGAACGGCCACAUUGGGACUGAGACACGGCCCAGACUCCUACGGGAGGCAGCAGUGGGGGAUAUUGCACAAUGGGGGAAACCCUGAUGCAGCGACGCCGCGUGGAGGAAGAAGGUUUUCGGAUUGUAAACUCCUGUCGCUAGGGACGAUAAUGACGGUACCUAACAAGAAAGCACCAGCUAACUACGUG